GAUGAACGCUGGCGGCGUGCCUAAUACAUGCAAGUCGAGCGAACAGACGAGAGUGCUUGCACUCUCUGACGUUAGCGGCGGACGGGUGAGUAACACGUGGGUAACCUACCUAUAAGACUGGGAUAACUUCGGGAAACCGGAGCUAAUACCGGAUAAUAUUUAGCUUCGCAUGAAGCAAUAGUGAAAGACGGUUCUGCUGUCACUUAUAGAUGGACCCGCGGUGUAUUAGCUAGUUGGUGAGGUAACGGCUCACCAAGGCAACGAUACAUAGCCGACCUGAGAGGGUGAUCGGCCACACUGGGACUGAGACACGGCCCAGACUCCUACGGGAGGCAGCAGUAGGGAAUCUUCCGCAAUGGACGAAAGUCUGACGGAGCAAUGCCGCGUGAGUGAAGAAGGUUUUCGGAUCGUAAAACUCUGUUGUAAGGGAAGAACAAGUACGUUAGUAACUGAACGUACCUUGACGGUACCUUACCAGAAAGCCACGGCUAACUACGUG
rnacentral:rRNA from 1 species